ACCUCAAGCCCGGCUUGUGUGUUGGGCCUACCGUCCCCUGGACGGUGGCCCGAAAGGCAGUGGCGGCGUCGCGUCCGGUCCUUGAAGCGUAUGGGGCUUUGUCACCCGCUUGGAGGCCGGCCGACCCCGUAGCCCAUCGUGGAUCUUCCACAUUUUUUCUGAUGGACCUCGGAUCAGGUAGGGAUACCCGCUGAACUUAA
rnacentral:misc_RNA from 1 species